GACAGAGGUGCCGAGCGUUAGGCGGAAUCACUGGGCUUAAAGCGUGUGUAGGCGGAUCGUUAAGUGCCUUGUGAAAUCCCACGGCUCAACCGUGGAACUGCUUGGCAUACUGGCGAUCUUGAGCCACUUAGGGGCUACCGGAACAAAUGGUGGAGCGGUGAAAUGCGUAGAUAUCGGGAGGAACACCUAUUGCGAAGGCAGCUCGCUGGGACGUUACUGACGCUGAGACGCGAAAGCGUGGGGAGCAAACAGG
rnacentral:rRNA from 1 species